rnacentral:rRNA from 1 species
UACGAAGGGGCUAGCGUUGUUCGGAAUCACUGGGCGUAAAGGGCGCGUAGGCGGCUGUUCAAGUCGGGGGUGAAAUCCCGUGGCUCAACCACGGAAUGGCCCUUCGAUACUGGACGGCUCGAGACCGGAAGAGGUGAGUGGAACUGCGAGUGUAGAGGUGAAAUUCGUAGAUAUUCGCAAGAACACCAGUGGCGAAGGCGGACUCACUGGUCCGGUUCUGACGCUGAGGCGCGAAAGCGUGGGGAGCAAACAGGG